UGCAAGAUAACAUUUUAGGAAAGGCUGAGGGAGCUGAGUCUCCUUAGCCUGGAGAAGAGGAGACUGAGGGGUGACCUUAUUCAUGUUUAUGAAUAUGUAAACGGUGACUGUCAGGAGGACAGAGCUAGGCUCUUCUUGGUGACAUCCAAUGAUGGGACAUGGGGCAAUGGGUGCAAGCUGGAAACAGGAGGUUCUGUUUAAAUAUGAGACAAAACUUUCUUAUGGUGAGGGUGACAGAGCACUGGAACAGGCUGCCCAGGGGGAUUGUGGAGUCUCCUUCUCUGGAGACUUUCAACUUCCGCCUGGACACAUUCCUGUGUGAUAUGAUUUAGGUGUUCCUGCUCUGGCAGGAGGAUUGGACUAGAUGAU